CAGUCGCCGCGGGAAUACGUAGGGUGCGAGCGUUAAUCGGAAUUACUGGGCGUAAAGCGUGCGCAGGCGGUUGUGUAAGACAGGUGUGAAAUCCCCGGGCUUAACCUGGGAACUGCGCUUGUGACUGCACAGCUAGAGUAUGGCAGAGGGGGGUGGAAUUCCACGUGUAGCAGUGAAAUGCGUAGAGAUGUGGAGGAACACCGAUGGCGAAGGCAGCCCCCUGGGCCAAUACUGACGCUCAUGCACGAAAGCGUGGGGAGCAAACAGGAUUAGAUACCCGUGUAGUCCAUGUCUCUUAUAC
rnacentral:rRNA from 1 species